rnacentral:rRNA from 1 species
UACGUAGGGUGCAAGCGUUGUCCGGAAUUAUUGGGCGUAAAGAGCUCGUAGGCGGUUUGUCGCGUCUGCUGUGAAAUCCCGAGGCUCAACCUCGGGUCUGCAGUGGGUACGGGCAGACUAGAGUGCGGUAGGGGAGAUUGGAAUUCCUGGUGUAGCGGUGGAAUGCGCAGAUAUCAGGAGGAACACCGAUGGCGAAGGCAGAUCUCUGGGCCGUAACUGACGCUGAAGAGCGAAAGCAUGGGGAGCGAACAGG